rnacentral:rRNA from 1 species
GUUAUAGGGUCAAGUGAAUAAGUGCAUGUGGUGGAUGCCUUGGCGAUCACAGGCGAUGAAGGACGUUGUAGCCUGCGUUAUGCUGCGGGGAGCUGGCAAACAAGCUUUGAUCCGCAGAUGUCCGAAUGGGGAAACCCACUCCGCAAGGAGUAUCCCGCGCUGAAUACAUAGGCGCGAGGAAGCGAACCGAGCGAACUGAAACAUCUAAGUAGCUCGAGGAAAAGAAAUCAACCGAGAUUCCGAAAGUAGUGGCGAGCGAAAUUGGAACAGCCUGUACGUGAUAGUCACGAAGUCAGCAGAACGGUCUGGAAAGUCCGGCCAUAGCAGGUGAUAGCCCUGUAUGUGAAAACAUCGUGGUGGUACUGAGCGUACGAUAAGUAGGGCGGGACACGUGAAAUCCUGUCUGAAGAUGGGGGGACCAUCCUCCAAGGCUAAAUACUCGUGAUCGACCGAUAGUGAACCAGUACCGUGAGGGAAAGGCGAAAAGAACCCCGGGAGGGGAGUGAAAUAGAUCCUGAAACCGCAUGCAUACAAACAGUCGGAGCCUCCUUGAGGGGUGACGGCGUACCUUUUGUAUAAUGGGUCAGCGACUUACGUUUAGUGGCAAGCUUAACCGAAUAGGGGAGGCGUAGGGAAACCGAGUCCGAAUAGGGCGAUUAGUCGCUAGGCGUAGACCCGAAACCAGAUGAUCUAUCCAUGGCCAGGAUGAAGGUAGGGUAACACCUGCUGGAGGUCCGAACCGACUACUGUUGCAAAAGUAGCGGAUGAGCUGUGGAUAGGGGUGAAAGGCUAAACAAAUCUGGAAAUAGCUGGUUCUCCCCGAAAACUAUUUAGGUAGUGCCUCAUGUAUGGCUCCAGGGGGUAGAGCACUGUCAUCAUUGCGGGGGUCAUUGCGAUUUACCGCGUGAUAGCAAACUCCGAAUACCUGGAAGUCUGAGCAUGGGAGACAGUCCUCGGGUGCUAACGUCCGAGGUCGAGAGGGAAACAACCCAGACCGCCAGCUAAGGUCCCCAAGCAUGACUAAGUGGGAAACGAAGUGGGAAGGCUAAAACAGUCAGGAGGUUGGCUUAGAAGCAGCCACCCUUUAAAGAAAGCGUAAUAGCUCACUGAUCGAGUCGUGGAGCGUUCUGUAAGCCUGUGAAGGUGUGUUGUAAAGCAUGCUGGAGGUAUCAGAAGUGCGAAUGCUGACAUGAGUAGCGUUAAACAGAGUGAAAAGCUCUGUCGCCGUAAGCGCAAGGUUUCCUACGCAACGUUAAUCGGCGUAGGGUGAGUCGGCCCCUAAGGCGAGGGCGAGAGCCGUAGCUGAUGGGAAGCAGGUUAAUAUUCCUGCACCGAUACUAGAUGCGAUGGGGGGACGGAUCGUGAAAGGUUGUCCGGGUGUUGGAUGUCCCGGUCCCUGUCUUGUAGGUGUCCAGUAGGCAAAUCCGCUGGACGUAUGCCAAGGAGAUGGGGCGAGUGAGCUUGCUCGCGAAGCAACUGGAAGGGGUCCCAGGAAAAGCCUCUAAGCUUCAGUCUAGUACGACCGUACCGCAAACCGACACUGGUGCGCGAGAUGAGUAUUCUCAGGCGCUUGAGAGAACUGCGGAGAAGGAACUCGGCAAAUUGACACCGUAACUUCGGGAGAAGGUGUGCCUUUGUAGCUUGAGUGUGAACAACACGAGGGCGAAGAGGUUGCAAAAAAUAGGUGGCUGCGACUGUUUACCAAAAACACAGCACUCUGCAAACACGAAAGUGGACGUAUAGGGUGUGACGCCUGCCCGGUGCCGGAAGGUUAA